rnacentral:rRNA from 1 species
UACGUAGGGGGCGAGCGUUGUCCGGAAUCAUUGGGCGUAAAGCGCACGUAGGCGGAUUGCUAAGUCAGGGGUGAAAUCCUGGAGCUCAACUCCAGAACUGCCUUUGAUACUGGUGAUCUUGAGUCCGGGAGAGGUGAGUGGAACUGCGAGUGUAGAGGUGAAAUUCGUAGAUAUUCGCAAGAACACCAGUGGCGAAGGCGGCUCACUGGCCCGGUACUGACGCUGAGGUGCGAAAGCGUGGGGAGCAAACAGG